UUGUAUAUACCAGCUUUCAUUGGAUAUCACCCAUCGCAACUUUGAAACAGUGCAUUGGGUCAAAUUAAUACGCUGACCGAAAAAACCGUUCGCAUCUCUGGCAAUUUGAUGGAGCAACGGGAAGUUACCUAAUCGAGUCCACAACUUCUAUAGACUGCAUCUAGGCCUAGCGGCAGUAUUAUGUACAAAUUGCAUACGAUUCCAUACCGCCAAAAGCAAAUUUAAAUCGUGUAUAAAAACAGUUAUUUAUGUGCUUUAAAGCGGCGCAAAUGUUGUUCAC